GGUCAUGAGUACCAGCGUGAAGCCCCGGCUUGCUGGUCGGCAACCCUCCGGCCAGGGUGGGGUGCUCCGGGUGAUGACCCGGUCGUCCGGCGCCACGCCGCACGACAAGCCGGUCC
rnacentral:ncRNA from 2 species